ACUCAAAGGAAUAGACGGGGGCCCGCACAAGCGGUGGAGUAUGUGGUUUAAUUCGACGCAACGCGAAGAACCUUACCAGCCUUUGACAUGUCCACUAUGGAUUUGGGAGACCAGAUCCUUCGGUUCGGCCGGGUGGAACACAGGUGCUGCAUGGCUGUCGUCAGCUCGUGUCGUGAGAUGUUGGGUUAAGUCCCGCAACGAGCGCAACCCUCAUCUUCAGUUGCCACCAGGUAAGGCUGGGCACUCUGAAGAAACCGCCGGUGACAAGCCGGAGGAAGGCGGGGAUGACGUCAAGUCCUCAUGGCCCUUACAGGCUGGGCUACACACGUACUACAAUGGUGGUGACAAUGGGCAGCGAAAGCGCGAGCUGGAGCCAAUCCCCAAAAACCAUCUCAGUUCGGAUUGCACUCUGCAACUCGAGUGCAUGAAGUUGGAAUCGCUAGUAAUCGCAGAUCAGCACGCUGCGGUGAAUACGUUCCCGGGCCUUGUACACACCGCCCGU
rnacentral:rRNA from 1 species